ACGGGUGAGUAAUGCAUAGGAACGUACCUUUAGGUGGGGAACAACUACGGGAAACCGUAGCUAAUACCGCAUGAUCAGGAAACUGCAAAAGUGGCCUCUACUUGUAAGCUACUGCCUAAAGAGCGGCCUAUGUCCCAUUAGCUAGUUGGCGGGGUAAUGGCCCACCAAGGCGACGAUGGGUAGCUGGUCUGAGAGGACGAUCAGCCACACUGGAACUGAGACACGGUCCAGACUCCUACGGGAGGCAGCAGUGGGGAAUAUUGCACAAUGGGCGAAAGCCUGAUGCAGCAAUGCCGCGUGAGUGAAGAAGGCCUUCGGGUCGUAAAGCUCUUUCGAUAGAGAAGAAGUGCAAGCAUGUGAACAAUAUGUUUGUAUGACGGUAUCUGAAGAAGAAGCACCGGCUAACUCUGUGCCAGCAGCCGCGGUAAUACAGAGGGUGCGAGCGUUGUUCGGAAUCACUGGGCGUAAAGAGCACGUAGGCGGGCUUACCAGCCAAUUGUGAAAUCCCCGAGCUCAGCUUGGGAAUUGCAGUUGGAACAGUAAGUCUUGAAUUUCUCAGAGGGUGACGGAAUUCCUGGUGUAGAAGUG
rnacentral:rRNA from 1 species